UGGGGAAUAUUGCACAAUGGGCGAAAGCCUGAUGCAGCAACGCCGCGUGAGCGAUGAAGGCCUUUGGGUCGUAAAGCUCUGUCCUUGGGGAAGAAAAAAAUGACGGUACCCAAGGAGGAAGCCCCGGCUAACUACGUGCCAGCAGCCGCGGUAAUACGUAGGGGGCAAGCGUUAUCCGGAAUUAUUGGGCGUAAAGAGUACGUAGGUGGUCUUUUAAGCGCAGGGUUUAAGGCAAUGGCUUAACCAUUGUUCGCCCUGUGAACUGGAAGACUUGAGUGUAGGAGAGGAAAGUGGAAUUCCUAGUGUAGCGGUGAAAUGCGUAGAUAUUAGGAGGAACAUCAGUGGCGAAGGCGACUUUCUGGACUAUUACUGACACUGAGGUACGAAAGCGUGGGGAGCAAACAGG
rnacentral:rRNA from 2 species